AUGUUACAUGGAAUAUACCUGCAGCAUCAUAAAUAUUUCUGUUCUGCGACCACAAAGGGAAAUGGAGAGGCAUCUUAUUGCUUGGGUUACUCAGAGCUUGACCUGAUCCCUGUCUGCUGUUUCCUCUCCCUUUAUAAACCACCCUGGAGAAGACUGUCCUCAAAGGCUCUUUUGUAUCUGCUCCAGCCUUCUUUGGAUUCAAUACAAACAAGUCACUGACUCGUAGCUUUCAGAUGAGCAAGAAGAGAUGAAUUCUUCCUCAUGAAAUGAACUAACAAGGACUCACGCAGUGUGACCCUGGGCCAGUCAUUUCUUUGUAGGUAAAAUAAGAUAAUGAGAUCUCAUUCAAUUGAGGCAGUUAGGUGGUACAGUGAAUAGAGUACUGGGCCUGGAGGCAGGAAGACCUGAAUUCAAAUCUGGCUUUAGCCACUUAGUAGUUGUGUGACCCUGGGCAAGUCACUUAACUCUGUUUACCUCACUUUCCUCAUCUAUAAAUGAGCUGGAGAAGGAAAUGGCAAACCAUUCCUGUAUCUUUGCCAAGAAAACCCCAAAUGGGGUCAUGAAAAGUCAGAAGAAUCAGAAAAACAACUGCACAACAAGCCAUUUAUUUGCCAACUUUUCUAACUCAGGUUUUAAAUAGAAUUCAAUAUGCUUUGAUUCAUCACCAUACCAAGUACUAUCGAUAUUCCUCUGUAUGAAGUAUUUAUAAUGACAUCCUUCUGUUUGUGAAUUUUUUAAACAGAAAGCUCUCAAUACAUUUAUCAUUGUGUUGCAUUGGCAAAGACCCUGGAUUCUGAGUUAUGGGAAUUUGGUUCAAAUCCUACCUCCACAACUUAAUACAUGUGUGAACUUGGAGAAGUCACUUAAUUUUUCUCACCCUCAGUUUCCUCAUCUGAAAAGUGAGGGAUGGUUGGACUGGAUAAUCUCUGAGGUUUCUAGCUUGACAUCUAUGAUCUGACCUUGACUUUGAACCUUAUUGCUUGAAGUAUGGAAAGUUACUCUUGGUGCAUUUUUAUUACUUAAGAUACAAGAAAAGAAAAGGGAUCAACACAGGUGGAGAUCCUACUCAAGCGGUGCCUAAAACCCUGGGAAAGUAAAAGGCAGAAAAGACCACAUGACCUACUUAGAAGCCGCAAAAGGUGGGAGGCCCACCCCUCCACCUUACCAACCGGUUUUCCUUUAAGAGGGAAAAUUUAUAGGUUGUAUUUGCUUGUUUAUUUGGUGGUUUGUUUUAUUUAAGAGGAAGGAGAGACAUAUUAGAUAAAAUUUCAGAUCUUCUACUUACUAUUUGUAUGAUAUCUAAGCCAUACAUUGUUGUUGUUCAACCUUGUCCAACUCUUCAUGACCCCAUUUGGGGUUUUCUUGGCAGAGAUACUGGAAUGGUUUGCCAUUUCCUUCUCCAGCUCAUUUUACAGACAAGGCAACUGAAUCAAACAGGGUUAAGUGAUUUGCACAGGGUUAUACAGUUAGUAAGUAUCUGAGGCCAGAUUUGAAUUCAGGUCUCCCUAACCCUAGGCCAGGUGCUCUAUCUAAUGUACCACCUAGCUGCCCCAAAUUACUUCUCUGUAAAAUGUUGGAGUUGGUCUAUAGAAUCUAAUCUAUAAUGUUUGUUCCAGUGCUAAACCUGCAGUGUAUGAACAAGAACCUUCUAUGCUGUUGUUAACUCCAAAGACUCCUUUCCAAUUCUGUUAUAUCUCCUAUGGUUCCUAGAAUCUAGCCUGGCUAAUUAACGGAUACUCCUGGUCAGCAUGUUCAAUCUCCUUUCUCUGAUAGCCUGAAUUUCAAUAAAACACUUUUGAUUUGGUCA
rnacentral:lncRNA from 1 species